rnacentral:rRNA from 1 species
UAGGGAAUCUUCCGCAAUGGACGCAAGUCUGACGGAGCAACGCCGCGUGAGUGAAGAAGGAUUUCGGUUCGUAAAACUCUGUUGUUAGAGAAGAACAGCGCAUAGAGUAACUGUUAUGCGUGUGACGGUAUCUAACCAGAAAGCCUCGGCUAACUACGUGCCAGCAGCCGCGGUAAUACGUAGGUGGCAAGCGUUGUCCGGAUUUAUUGGGCGUAAAGCGAGCGCAGGCGGUCAAUUAAGUCUGAUGUGAAAGCCCCCGGCUCAACCGGGGAGGGUCAUUGGAAACUGGGUGACUGGAGUGCAGAAGAGGAGAGUGGAAUUCCAUGUGUAGCGGUGAAAUGCGUAGAUAUAUGGAGGAACACCAGUGGCGAAGGCGACUCUCUGGUCUGUAACUGACGCUGAGGCUCGAAAGCGUGGGUAGCAAACAGG